CUCGUAGGCGGCCUCUUAAGUCGGACGUGAAAUCCCCGGCUCAACCUGGGAACUGCGUCUGAUACUGGGGGGCUGGAAUGCGGGAGAGGGAUGCGGAAUUCCAGGUGUAGCGGUGAAAUGCGUAGAUAUCUGGAGGAACACCGGUGGCGAAGGCGGCAUCCUGGACCGUGAUUGACGCUGAGGAGCGAAAGCCAGGGGAGCAAACG
rnacentral:rRNA from 1 species